AGAAGCUGCAUUUACAGGAACAUGUUUGGUGACAAGAAGAUAGUAUUUCUCUUCCCAUUCCCAUCUCCAUGAGUACCUGAACAGAGGGUUUGCAGUUUUCUCUGGAAGACCAUCUGAGUGAAGGAAGAGAGAGAGGCUAUAUGAGGGACAACUGCUGUAAAAGCACGGGGAAGAGUGCCAUUUCUUACAAAGUUACAGACUGAAAUGUCGAGAAUAGCUUUAAUCAGCAAUUGGCUGAAGAAAACUCCAUGGGACUUAGCGGUAGCAAGGCUCAUUAAAUUACAUGAGGAGCAUUCUGCACAUUCAACUGAUGGUGAAAGCAUAAGGACCAAGAAGAUCUUAGAGCGAUUUGAGGAACAGAGAAGGCAAAGAACAGUUUGGAAUGACCUGAGAGACAGUGCCUGUGUAUUUCUUUCAAGCCUAUCAUGCUUGCUGUCAUCUUCAGAACUACAGUUUUUAAAAAAAUAAAGUUGCCUAUGUGGUUUUAUUUACUAUAUCAACCAUGGAAGAAGGGAACUAAAUUCAGUGACUGAUGGGUCUGACAGCCAAAAUGUUCAUAUAGUCUCUGAUGGGUGCAUUUACUUCUUCGUGUGUUUAAGAGUCCUUGAAUUCCAAACAUUUAAAUAGAUUAUUGCAAAUAUAUUUUUCAUUUCUUGGUCAAGUCCAGAGUAAUAG
ensembl:lncRNA